GACGAACGCUGGCGGCGUGCUUAACACGUGCAAGUCGAACGAUGAAGCCGAGCUUGCUCGGUGGAUUAGUGGCGAACGGGUGAGUAACACGUGAGCAACCUGCCCCUAACUCUGGGAUAACGCUUCGAAAGGAGUGCUAAUACCGGAUAUGAGCCUGGAAGACAUCCUCUGGGUUGGAAAGUUUUUCGGUUAGGGAUGGGCUCGCGGCCUAUCAGCUUGUUGGUGAGGUAAAGGCUCACCAAGGCGACGACGGGUAUCCGGCCUGAGAGGGCGACCGGACACACUGGGACUGAGACACGGCCCAGACUCCUACGGGAGGCAGCAGUGGGGAAUUUUGGACAAUGGGGGCAACCCUGAUCCAGCAAUGCCGCGUGAGUGAAGAAGGCCUUCGGGUUGUAAAGCUCUUUGUCAGGGAAGAAACACCGGCUCUAACACAGUCCGGGAAUGACGGUACCUGAAGAAUAAGCACCGGCUAACUACGUG
rnacentral:rRNA from 1 species